AGUGAACGCUGGCGGUAGGCCUAACACAUGCAAGUCGAACGGCAGCACAGUAAGAUCUUGCUCUUACGGGUGGCGAGUGGCGGACGGGUGAGGAAUACAUCGGAAUCUACUUUUUCGUGGGGGAUAACGUAGGGAAACUUACGCUAAUACCGCAUACGACCUACGGGUUAAAGCAGGGGAUCUUCGGACCUUGCGCGAUUGAAUGAGCCGAUGUCGGAUUAGCUAGUUGGCGGGGUAAAGGCCCACCAAGGCGACGAUCCGUAGCUGGUCUGAGAGGAUGAUCAGCCACACUGGAACUGAGACACGGUCCAGACUCCUACGGGAGGCAGCAGUGGGGAAUAUUGGACAAUGGGCGCAAGCCUGAUCCAGCCAUACCGCGUGGGUGAAGAAGGCCUUCGGGUUGUAAAGCCCUUUUGUUGGGAAAGAAAAGCAGCAGGUUAAUACCCCGCUGUUCUGACGGUACCCAAAGAAUAAGCACCGGCUAACUUCGUG
rnacentral:rRNA from 1 species